CGAAUGAGACUCGUUAAACACAGCUGGUAGUUAACAGACAAUCUGCCGACGAAAGUGGACUAACGUUGAAUUUAUGGCGGCGGGAACGCUCGGAGUAGUAUGGCAUUUAACUAUUUUACGUUCAAAGUAAAAGUCAUAAAUCUAGCCGAGACGGUGUUUGUUGUAAUGUGACGCUAUUAUCGAGUCAGUUGCCGGGUUUUGUAAUGUAUGUGCGAUAAUCUUGACAAAGGCGUGCAAAAGACGAAUAGCACAUUUUUUUCUACUCUUACGGUAUUUUACUUACAGUGCCUGGAUUAUUAAUUAUUGAUAAUUACAGUCACGAAAUAGCUCGAUCAUAAUAGUUUCUUAUACAUCUUGCGUUGUAAUAUAAUUUCGCGAUGCAACAACGCACGACGCGCAUUACAGCUAAUGAAGCGACUCCUUAAUUAAUCUGGGACAUCUUAUAUAAGCAUGCGAUAUGACUCCAUCAAGUUGAACAUUCUCAAUUAGCCUCCUCGAGAAUGGCAGCGUGUAAUUUCCAACGGAGAAAACACGAUUAAGAAAAGUGUAGCAAUAUGUAGGUGGAUGUUAUGUAAAUUUCGGCGGCUCAUCCAAAGCGCUAAUGGCCGCGCGUGUAGUCAGCGCUAAAUAAAACAGAGCUGUUUCCAGUUAACAAGGCGUAGGCGGGUGUUAUGCAAAUUUUGGCGCAGCAUCCUUCGCGUUAAUGGCGCGAUCGUGAUGCGACUGGCGUCAAGAUAAAUAAAUAGGGACAGUGGACACGGACCGUGGAUGAACGUGAAAUCGAAUAUACUCCGUCACGUAUCCGAGUACAACUAUUGCCACCGUUAUAUAACGACGAGAGAAUGCAAGACCUGUUUUGAUUUAUAAGGACGACGUCGAUCGAUAACAUUAUCGGCCACGAGAUCCCGUUGAAGAGAGAGACUCUUCGUUUCUGCUAGCACUCAAAUCUCGUUCCGGAUAACAAGCUGCAACAGGAUGUUGUGCAGAAAAUAUGGCGCUGUAUCCUUUAUGCAAAUUCGCAUUCGCGGGGCAGGUUCGGCCUUCUCUUAUCUGGCGAACGGCGCGGCAAAACGUUAUUAGUCGACGAAGAUAAACAUUUCCGCGGAUAAUAAUCGCAGAUUGAAUUCAUAUUAAACAUUCUGAUUCUUAAAAUGCAAACUCACGAUAUUAGUGGAAACGAAAUCACGGUUACGUCUCGCGUGCUUGUUUUCUGAAUUGAUAAGAUAGCGAGGUAUCCGAUAUACUUAUAUUCAUCGCGUCGAUAAAUCCGACGUGUAAAACCGCAACAAAUUCGUUCAGAUGAAAUCCUCACGUAUAAUAUUUUAAUGCCAAGGCUGUCCAACAGCCUGUUUAUUCGCGAACUCCUUGUAUAGGGUAAAUGCAGGUGAAUGGACGGGAAAGUAAGUCAAAUUUAAAAUUAGAAUAACGCUCACGCAUUUAUUUCCAUUCACUUUAACUUAUAGGUCACUUCAAUAAAUAUUACUACAAUUUAAUCGUGGCUUAACUGAUUUUAUGGUUCUUUUUUUUUAAGGGAGAUAGAUAAUCAAUUAAAGACAGGCAAUCUUAAUUAAUGCGUAUAUAAUGCCUCGAACGAAAUGGAAAACUUGCCUAACCGUAUCUAAUUGUAACUAUGUUUAUGGAAACGACCGUAUAUCAUCUUUCGUAGCCGGCGAAGCAUGUAGUUAUCAUAUGCUCGGUCAUUAUAUUUUUCUCGAGUGCACUGAUACUGAAUUUUAAUCCACUUUACCUUUCAGGCCUAACCACGUGCUUUGUUGUAUACAUAUUAAUACAUUGCUUGAAGUAAUACGUAUCAAUUAGUUGUAAUUUCAGUUAUUCUGCAUUCGAAAUUAUGGUUAUUCAAUGCUUGUGUACAAAAUGUGAAUAUUUAAUUUAUACAUGCGUUGCGAAACACUUAAUAGUUUUGAUUAAAAUACUUCUUAUUACAGACUUGUAGAAUAGUUUAAGAUAAUAUUUGGAAAAUAGCUUCAUUGAAUAAACUCUGUAUUUUUAUUUUUGAUCCUAA